rnacentral:rRNA from 1 species
UACGAAGGGGGCUAGCGUUGCUCGGAAUCACUGGGCGUAAAGGGUGCGUAGGCGGGUCUUUAAGUCAGGGGUGAAAUCCUGGAGCUCAACUCCAGAACUGCCUUUGAUACUGGAAGACUUGAGUCCGGGAGAGGUGAGUGGAACUGCGAGUGUAGAGGUGAAAUUCGUAGAUAUUCGCAAGAACACCAGUGGCGAAGGCGGCUCACUGGCCCGGUACUGACGCUCAUGCACGAAAGCGUGGGGAGCAAACAGG